rnacentral:misc_RNA from 1 species
UAGGGCAUCAUAUAUAUAUAUUCAUAUGUGUGUAAGAACCAUGGGUACCAUAGAAGUCGAUACUUUUUUGUUGUUGCCGCUUGAGUUGAGAUGCCUUUGAACACCCGGCUAAGCUACAACCACAGGUUACAACGCCAAGGCCCAUCUUCCUGCGGUUUGGUUCAAAUUUUUCUUCAAAAUUUCGUCACAGAUCUCAGACUUCCUUUAACAACAGUAGCGGACCUGUUAUGAUGCUACGGGCCAGUGGAAUGACUCAUUACUUCAUUUCCGUUUGUCUUAUGUUUCCAUUUUUUUUAUUUCAAAGUAGCAUUUCCCCUACUCAAAAUUAAAAUCUUACAUAAAAUUGCUCAGUUCAUUUCCAAAAUCCGACGUUCCAAAUUCUCAAUCAGGAUAUUUUCCAUUUAUCCCUUGAAAAUGUUCAAUAAACCCCCUGAUAUUUCUAAUUCAAUCUCGCACAAACAUUAUCAAGGGACAUUUUGCAGGUAUUUAACCCAAGGUUACCAUACAUCGUUUUCGCACGUGAGUUAAGCUUCGAAUUGAAACAGAACGAAUGGCAUAGAUGAUAAUUCCACGCAUCCAUCUACCCACAAACCCUUGCAUAAUUGUAACUUGCUCCGAAGAAUAAAACAGAAAAUGCGUCAACUUGGACAGUUGCAAAUUUCAACAAAAUAGUAAUAAUAAUGACAGCUUCAGACAGCCGAAAGUGUUGAAGUAUAAAUGGCUGAAAUGCCUUCUCCAGCCAUUUAAACACUAGUAACUGAGAUCAUUUAGCAUUUGACAUUCUCCAGUACCAGUUUAGGCUAGAAUUAUACCAAACCUAAAAGUAUUGAUGAGAAUUCCACAUAUCUACCCACAAAUCAUUACAACAAUAUUAGCUCACUGUGAAGAAAAAACAAUAAUAGAAAAGCCUCCACUUGAUGGACAACUGCAAGUUUCAACAGCACAAAAUUGUUAACAAAAAAUGAAAUUAAAUGACGACUUCAAACGAAGCUGAAAAGGAAAGUAUUAAGUUGAAGGACAUGAAAAUUCUACCAGUGGUGAUGACUAUUUAUUCUACUCUAACUACUGGCACAGCUGCUCAACCGCUGUCACAAUCUGGGCAGGUUGAACCACAGUCCAUUCCUCCAAUGUCCCAGCAUAGGGGGUAGGUACAUCCUGUGAAGACAAGCAUACAAUUGGAGCAUCCAAAUAGUCAUGGAAAUUUUCUGUGAUGGCUGCAGUCAAGCUCGCACCAAUGCCACCAGUCCUCAUGCAUUCCUCCACAAUCAGCACACGAUGUGUCUUCUUCACAGAAUUCCCAAUUGUGUAGAGAUCAAAAGGUUUCAGUGAUCUGAUAUCAAUCACUUCAGGAUCAUAUCCCUUGUUCACUAAAGUUUUGGCAGCCUGCAUCACAUGAUAUCUCAUCCGUGAGUAGGUUAAAAUAGUAACAUGCUCUCCAGGCCUAACCAUCUCAGCUUCCUCGAGAUUACAAAUAUAUUCUUCAUCAGGGAUUCUCUCUUUGAGGUUGUAAAGCAAAACAUGCUCAAAGAGUAUAACUGGAUUCUCACUUCGGAUUGCAGCUUUCAUCAAUCCCUUGGCAUUAUAAGCGGUUGAGCAUGCAACCAUUUGGAUUCCUGGAAUUGAUUGAAAAUAUGAUUCAAGGCGUUGUGAGUGUUCAGCACCAAGUUGCCGCCCAACUCCACCAGGUCCACGUAUAACUAUGGGUAUUUUAAACUGUCCACCGGAUGUGUAGUGAAGCAUGCCACAGUUGUUCGAGAUCUGAUUGAAAGCUAGAAGGAGAAAACCCAUGUUCAUACCCUCAACGACUGGCCUCAAGCCAGUCAUGGCAGCACCAAUACCCAUACCAGUGAAGGAAUUCUCAGCAAUAGGGGUGUCAAGAACUCUAAGAUCCCCAUAUUUCGUUGCCAGGCCUUUUGUCACCUUGUAUGAACCUCCAUAAUGACCCACAUCUUCACCCAUGACACAAACAGUGGGAUCUCUCUCCAUUUCUUCCUCUAAGCCUUCUCUUAGAGCCUCAAAGAGUAGAAGUUCAUGUCUGAUCAUAAAAUGCAGAUCUACUUCAGCACUUUAUGUGUGGUGCACAAACAUAGAAAUUCUAAAACAUAAGGAAUAAUGUGAUAAUCCUACAUCUGAAGGCUAAAAAAAAUAUGACACAGUAUAUAGCAGUUUAUCAUUAGGGUCUUGUGUGUAUGAGUUGCUCCACCAGGGAAGCCCCAAACCAAUCAGAGCUAAGCUGGGAUCAAGAUAAUUGACCCACUGGCUGCUAAAUUGCAUUGUUCAAGCCCUUUCAAAAUUUGGGCUAGGCAAGAAUUUGGUACUCUUUAGCCCAGACCAGCUUUGCCCAUUGCUAUUCCACAAUAAUUAUCAGAUUUCAUGAAGAAACAUUAUUAAUUCAUUGGUUAGAACCCCGUCUCAAGUUUCAUUGCUCUAGUCAAUGAUCAGCUACUUAACAAACAUGCAUCAAAUAUACAAGGUAAAUUAUGAAGAUAAUAAAAUAUAGAAUAAAAUAACCAAGUAUAUGUGCAUACCAGGCCUGGGCCACUUAUCUGGUUUAAGUCUGGCCAGGUAAGACAAACUUGACCUGAUUUCCACCAGGCUAAGAAUCACAUUAUUAAGCAUUUUGACUGGAAGGUUUAUCCUAAAAUGGGGCCUUAUGCACAAUUAUUUCAAAAGAUUAUUAUGCAAAAACAUGCUCUCUACAAACAGUCCCAGGCCUAUUAACUGCUUGCACAACAUGACAACGCUUAGUUAUCAAGAUCUAUUUUUGAUAGCUAAUCAAUUAUUAUUAUGUAAGUCCAAUAAUCAACAUUACGUAUAUACUGAUAUAAUGAAUAUCCCAGCUGCUAAAAAUUUAAAGAUAAAGAAUUUCUUCAUUGAUAUUACAAAAGCCAAAAACAUAUGCAAAGAAAAAUGGAAAAUAGGAAAAUCACUAGCAGCAAGGAAAUGAUGACCUUAUCUAAUACAUAAUUCAAGAACAAUACACCAUAGAAGCAAUGCAAAAUCAUACUAUUAAUAAAAAAGGCUCAAUAUGCUAAGAACCCGGCAUGAAUAAGAACAAAAAAGUCCUUUGUGCCAACAAAUCAAAUAUCUCAAAAUAGUAUUUGGCAUUUGAUACAAUUAAAAGAAUCAUUUAUUUUUAAUAAAAUUUUAAAAUGUUUUCAAGGAUUCUGAUUCUUGAAAACUGCCAACUUACUCUGUGGUGUCCUUUCAGUUAAUUUUAGAUAAUACAAAAUCAUGCUUUCCUUUCAUCCACAUGAUUGCUCUUUCAUAACAUCCAUUAAAUUAGAUGAUUUUAGCUUCUACUUACCAAUAAAAUUAUAAAGUUACAUCAGAAAUCCUAAAAAGUAUAAGAAUGGUACAAGUUCGACUUAUUCAUCAUUUCAUUAUCAGAACACACUACAAUCAAUACAGGACAAAGGAUCCAUACAUCUAUGGUAGAAUUAUAGUAUCAUGGGAAUUCACUCAGAUAUGAGCUUGAAAGAAAAACCAGCUUGCGUAAAUCAGUGAAUGUUAGACAUGCUUCAAAGAGUCAAGUCAAGUUUGACUACAAUUUAAAUUUGAAUUUCAUAAAACACUAAAUUUUAAACUGGACUAGAACAACUUUUAGAAGCACCACACAACAGUCACAGAAAGAUAUUAACAAACAGAAUAUUAAUAUUGCUGGAGGCUCGGCCAGAAUAUGUCAAGCUAUAGAUAUAUCAUCUAGUAAUGCAAGAAACGAGUAGAAUAACACGCCCAAUCAAGGUUACAGAUGCGACUAUAGAAUAGAAGCAUACCCAGGUUUAGAUGCCGUGGAAGCUGCAGAACCAUCAGCCUUUGUCGCAACAGCAUUGGUAAUCAACUGCUCGGCCCUGCGAGCUCUAGAAUUAGAACCUAGAUUGAGGUUCACGCUCCCAUCAGAUCUGACCAAGAGGAAGCUCGCUUUCCUCUCUGAAAAGGAUCUGGGAGAGGGGAGCUGUAAUUUCUUGGAAUCGAAGGAAUUAGAAGCCGUUAAAGCUCCUAAUCCCCGGAAUAUUGUAGUCAUUGGUGACUUCUGCUCCUUUUAUGUUAGAUAGAAACGAACCAGAGAUUGAUUUCUGGGGAGAAUAAGGAAAAGAAACGGAGAGAAAGGAAAAGAUGAGAAGAGAAAAAGGGACAGAGAUGGGAUUUAUAAAAUAGGAAGCAGAGAAAGCAGAUGAGAAUGGGCGGAGAAUUUGAGGAAUUGAAGAGCUAAACUGGGAGCUACUUGGGCUUUUGAUUUGCUUUGCUGUGCGUCUCAGCUUUUGGCGAUUUAUUUGAUGUUGAGACUCGGGCCACAAUCCACAUUGUUUCCAUCGUCACUUGACUUCCCACUUCUUCUCU